CUGCGUCCUGGCACAGGAGGCACCGUGAUUAUGAAGGCGGUUCUCCCAGGUCGAGGCCUGCCAUUGCACUCCGACGGUGCUGAUCCUUGCGAUUAACCCAAAUGUGGUUAACUCGAGUGGAUAACUCGAGUGUGAUUGUGAAGCAAAUGCUCAAG